GACAACGCGAGGACGCGGAGUAGUAAGCGCAGGGGCCCUGCCAGAGAGAUGCCGGUUGGUGCGAGGCAUUCAGAAGGCCCCUGGCCGAACUGACCGCCGAGCGGCCGUGCCGAAGCAAGUAGGCCCGGACGGGGUUGCGCCCGUUAGCAACGCAGGGGUAUCCAGCUGGCCAGGCUGCCGGCCCGUACCCGCAAAGUGCGUUUCCCCUUUUGGAAACGAAGGAAAAGUGGUACCGCGGAAGGUUGCUCUUUCGUCUUUUCU
rnacentral:ncRNA from 1 species